GGGGGUCCCUACAUCCCCUAUAGGGCCGGGGGGGGGCCUAUAGAAUCUAUAGGGCCGGGGGGGGUCCCUAUAUCCCCUAUUGGUCUGGAGGGUCCCUAUAGAAUCUAUAGGGUCGAGGGGGGUCCCUAUAUCCCCUAUAGGGCCAGGGGGGUCCCUAUAGAAUCUAUAGGGCCAGGGGGGUCCCUACAUCCCCUAUAGUGUUGGGGGGGUCCCUAUAGAAUCUAUAGGGCUGGGGGGGUCCCUAUAGAAUCUAUAGGGCCGGGGGGGUCCGUAUAUCCCCUAUAGGGCCGAUGGGGGAGGGGCAGAACGGGCCUCACUGCUUCUCUCCCCCCCUCCCUUUCCCUUCCUGUCGCCAUGGCAACCGUCGCCAUGGCAACCGGCAGCAGCCCCAUAGCAACGGGGGGACUUAAAGUGGGGGGGACUGGGAUGGACUGGGAUAUACUGGGAUGGACUGGGGGGGCACUGGGAUGGAACUGGGAUGGACUGGGAGGGUACUGGGAUGGACUGGGAUGGACUGGGAUAUACUGGGAUGGACUGGGAUGGACUGGGAGGGGACUGGGAUAUACUGGGAUGGACUGGGGGGAUACUGUGGGGGUACUGGGAUAUACUGGGAUGGACUGGGAUAUACUGGGUUGGACUGGGAUGGACUGGGAUGGACUGGAGGGGCACUGGGAUAUACUGGGAUGAACUGGGGGGGCACUGGGAUAUACUGGGAUGGACUGGGAUGAACUGAGAUGGAACUGGGAUGGACUGGGAGGGUACUGGGAUAUACUGGGAUGAACUGGGCAGGCACUGGGAUGUACUGGGAUGGACUGGGAUAUACUGGGAUGGACUGGGGGGACACUGGGAUGGACUGAACUGGACUGGACUGGGGAGGGUACUGGGAUGGACUGGGAUGAACUGGGCGGGCACUGGGAUAUACUGGGAUGGACUGGGAUGGACUGGGGGGGCACUGGGAGAUACUGGGAUAUACUGGGAUGGACUGGGAGGGUACUGGGAGGGUACUGGGAUGAACUGGGCGGGCACUGGGAUAUACUGGGAUGGACUGGGAUGGACUGGGGGAGCACUGGGAGAUACUGGGAUAUACUGGGAUGGACUGGGAUAUACUGGGAUGGACUGGGGGGGCACCGGGAUGGACUGGAAUGGACUGGGGAGGGUACUGGGAUGGACUGGGAUGGACUGGGCGGGCACUGGGAUAUACUGGGAUGGACUGGGAUAUACUGGGAUGGACUUGGGGGGCACUGGGAUAUACUGGGAUGGACUGGGAUGGACUGGGGGGGCACUGGGAUGGACUGGGGGGUACUGGGGUAUACUGGGAUGAACUGGGGGGGGCUGGGGAUGGAACUGGGAUGGACUGGGAUAUACUGGAGGGGUACUGGGAUGGACUGGGAUGGACUGGGAUAUACUGGGAGGCACUGCGGGGGCACUGGGAUGGACUGGGAUGGACUGGGAGAUACUGGGAUGGACUGGGAUGAACUGGGGGGGGCACUGGGAUGGACUGGGGGAGUACUGGGAUAUACUGGGAUGGACUGGGAUAUACUGGAGGGGUACUGGGAUGGACUGGGAUGGACUGGGAUAUACUGGGAUGGACUGGGAGGGGACUGGGGGGGUACUGGGGGGUACUGGGAUAUACUGGGAGGCACUGCGGGGGCACUGGGGUGGACUGGGAUGGACUGGGAGAUACUGGGAUGGACUGGAGGGAUACUGGGAUGGACUGGGAUGGACUGGGAUGGACUGGGAUGGACUGGGGGGGUACUGGGAUGGACUGGGGGGGUACUGGGAUAUACUGGGAUGGACUGGGAUAUACUGGAGGGGUACUGGGAUGGAUGGGGGGCACUGGGGGGGUACUGGGAUAUACUGGGGGCUACUGGGAUGGACUGGGAUUGACUGGGAUGGAACUGGGAUGGGCUGGGAUAUACUGGGAUGGAUUGGGGGGGACUGGGAUAUACUGGGAUAUACUGGGAUGGACUGGAAUGGACUGGGAUGGACUGGGGGGGCACUGGGAUGGACUGGGGGGGUACUGGGAUAUACUGGGAUGGACUGGGGGGGCACUGGGAUGGAACUGGGAUGGACUGGGAUGGACUGGGGGGAUACUGGGAUAUACUGGGAUGGACUGGGAUGGACUGGGAUGGACUGGGGGGGCACUGGGAUGGACUGGGGGGGUACUGGGAUAUACUGGGAUGGACUGGGAUAUACUGGAGGGGUACUGGGAUGGAUGGGGGGCACUGGGGGGGUACUGGGAUGUACUGGGGGCUACUGGGAUAUACUGGGAUGGAUUGGGGGGGACUGGGAUAUACUGGGAUAUACUGGGAUGGACUGGGAUGAACUGGGCAGGCACUGGGAUGGACUGGGGGGGUUACUGGUCCAUACUGGGAGGGUACUGGGCUAUACUGGGGGGUUGGGGGGUACUGGUUUAUACUGGUCCAUACUGGGAUGGACUGGGGGGGUUACUGGUCCAUACUGGGGAUGCUCUGCUCCAUACUGGGAGUACUGGUCCAUACUGGGAUAUACUGGGGGGGCUACUGGUCCAUACUGGGGAUGCUCUGCUCCAUACUGGGCUAUACUGGUCCAUACUGGGAUAUACUGGGAGGGUACUGGUCCAUUCUGGGGAUGUCCGCUCCAUACUGGGAGUACUGGUCCAUACUGGGAGUCCCGGUCCGGGUCCAUACUGGCCUUACUGGUUCAUACUGGUCCAUACUGGGCAAUACUGGUCCAUACUGGGAUAUACUGGGAGGGUACUGGUCCAUACUGGGAGUCCCGGUCCCUAUGGGGAUGCCCUGCUCCAUACUGGGCAUACUGGUCCAUACUGGGAUAUACUGGGAGGAUACUGGUCCAUACUGGGGAUGCUCUGCUCCAUACUGGGCUAUACUGGUCCAUACUGGGCUAUACCGGUCCAUACUGGGCUAUACCGGUCCAUACUGGGAUAUACCGGUCCAUACUGGGCUAUACAGGUCCAUACUGGGAGUACUGGUCCCAGUCCAUACUGGCCUUACUGGUUCAUACUGAGCUAUACUGGUCCAUACUGGGCUAUACUGGUCCAUACUGGGCUAUACCGAUCCAUACCGGGCUAUACUGGUCCAUACUGGGAUAUACUGGGAGGGUACUGGUCCAUACUGGGAGUCCCGGUCCCGGUCCAUACUGGCCA
ensembl:lncRNA